UACGUAGGGUGCGAGCGUUGUCCGGAAUUAUUGGGCGUAAAGGGCUCGUAAGGCGGUCUGUCGCGUCGGGAGUGAAAACUCAGGGCUUAACCCUGAGCCUGCUUCCGAUACGGGCAGACUAGAGGUAUGCAGGGGAGAACGGAAUUCCUGGUGUAGCGGUGGAAUGCGCAGAUAUCAGGAGGAACACCGAUGGCGAAGGCAGGUCACUGGGCCGCAACUGACGCUGAGGAGCGAAAGCAUGGGGAGCGAACAGG
rnacentral:rRNA from 1 species